rnacentral:rRNA from 1 species
AUCUGUAGGCGAACCUGCAGAUGGAUCA